AGCUCCAGUGAACCCUGAAGUAGUCUCAGGUAGAGGGGGUGGGUGGGGAGCUGUGCACUCUGCAGGAAGCGAGAGAGACGAGAGCUGAACAGUGUCGAGUGAACGCAGAGUUCAUAGAAGGGCGACAGACAUAUUUUCGGAUUGACGGAUAGUUAACUGGAGUGAAAAGCUGUUGUACCCUACUGUGAGUAGGAGGAGACGGACGUCUUGCUGGCGUGUCAGAGAGGUCCCUUCUACUGGUGUGCUGAAGUUAUGUGUUCACGUGGGAGCACGUGGAGAGGACGACUGAGUGCUGCUGCCGCGGCCUGCUGGUAGCCUUGACCCAGUUUCCCCCUGCUAUCCCCUUGAACUGCCUGGAGGUGUGAGUACUGUUUGCACGUGCUUUUUAUUUUACUGCUUGGCAACAAGUGAAGCGACCAUAUUGUUUUAGGUCCCAACGCACCCGAGCCACGACUCAGGCCUGCAACGAGGGGUUUGCUAGCAGAAAGACUGUAGCACUUGAGAUACGAGAACUGCAAGAGCUACAAGAGGCUGUGAACAAUGACAGUCCAGCUGCUGAACAUCAGGAGGUAUCAGCUGACUCAUGGCUGAUGCCGUACCACAGACAGAAGCGUGGCAUCAAGUGUCGCUUUUGCUGCGGCUGCUGCAAUUCUGGUGUCUGUGGAUUGUGCUGCAGAUUCUGAGAAUAUCUACCUGCGAUUCUCACAUUAACCACUAAAUAUAGACGGUUAUACCUGAAAUGAUUUGACUGCUUAGCAUUUGUUGAAGUCUGACAGUGUUUCUUCAUCUGGUGAUCCUGCUGUAACAGUGAACAGUGCAGCAUUUGGAACUACAGUAUGUUAUUAUAUUAAACUUCAGUGGCACUAUACUACAACAUGUGCUGUUUGUUUCUGUUUCUGUCUGACAAGAAUGAAACAUUAAUGGAAACCAGUGACAUGAAGCUCCUGAUGUACACUUUUUGUGCUGAUGCCAGUUAAGAGUUGUGGCCUCAUACUCUUGCCCAUAUAAUAUGUGGUACAACCUGUUAAUAGAGCCAAGUCAUUGAUAGCAAAAGUAAAGUGAGCAUAUUUUCCCAUAUUUGUAAUUAUAUGAGUACAGAGCAUUUCAUCAUCAUUCAAUAUUACCACUAAUUAUGACAAAAAUGCAGUAAUGUGCAAAAGCUUUGAGCUGAUGGACUGGUUCAUUGGUUAUUUGAAAGUUAAAUCAAGCAUACUUUUUUUUAAAGAAUGUAGAAGUGUUAGAUACUGUUUACUCGAAACACUUUCUAUACAAGUUCAUUCAUAAAUGUUUAUCUUAUCUAUGCCAUUAAAACACUGUGUAUGCAGAUCUA